GACGUAGGGUGCAAGCGUUGUCCGGAAUUAUUGGGCGUAAAGGGCUUGUAGGCGGUUUGUCGCGUCUGCUGUGAAAUUUCGGGGCUCAACCCCGAACUUGCAGUGGGUACGGGCAGACUAGAGUGUGGUAGGGGAGACUGGAAUUCCUGGUGUAGCGGUGAAAUGCGCAGAUAUCAGGAGGAACACCGAUGGCGAAGGCAGGUCUCUGGGCCACUACUGACGUGAGAAGCGAAAGCAUGGGGGAGCGAAACAGG
rnacentral:rRNA from 1 species